rnacentral:rRNA from 1 species
AAUUUUCCACAAUGGGCGAAAGCCUGAUGGAGCAACGCCGCGUGAGUGAAGAAGGUUUUCGGAACGUAAAACUCUGUUGUAAGGGAAGAACAAGCACAGCAGUAACUGGCUGUACCUUGACGGUACCUUAUUAGCAAGACACGGCUAACUACGUGCCAGCAGCCGCGGUAAUACGUAGGUGGCAAGCGUUGUCCGGAAUUAUGGGGCGUAAAGCGCGCGCAGGCGGUCCUUUAAGUCUGAUGUGAAAGGCCACGGCUCAACCGCGGAGGGUCAUUGGAAACUGGGGGACUUGAGUGCAGAGGAGGAAAGUGGAAUUCCAAGUGUAGCGGUGAAAUGCGUAGAGAUUUGGAGGAACACCAGUGGCGAAGGCGACUUUCUGGUCUGUAACUGACGCUGAGGCGCGAAAGCGUGGGGAGCAAACA